rnacentral:misc_RNA from 1 species
AAAGUCGUAACAAGGUAACCGUAGGUGAACCUGCGGUUGGAUCAUUAAUAAAUUUAAACUUUGCGUUUUCAACGCAAAACAACAUUCUUGUGAACUGUUAUUGUCUUUGGCGGGUUGCGUUUGCUUGAUGGUUUAAGGAAGUUUUCCUUAGGCCCAAGCCGUCUGCUUAAGGCCUUUUAGGCUUUAUGUGGCCAGCCCGUCGGUUAACUCACUGUAAUUGACCUGUAAAACGGUUGAUCCACGGUGUUUUUAACACCCCAUAUAUAAACUCUAUUAUUUUAUUAGUCGACUGAAGUUUUCACUAUGUGAAUCGUAAUGAAAAACAACUUUUGGCAACGGAUCUCUUGGCUCUU